rnacentral:rRNA from 1 species
UGGGGAAUCUUGCGCAAUGGGGGAAACCCUGACGCAGCAACGCCGCGUGGGUGAUGAAGGCCUUCGGGUCGUAAAGCCCUGUCAGGUGGAAAGAAUCGUGUCGGUACGAACAAUACCGACGCUUGACGGUACCACCGGAGGAAGCACCGGCUAACUCCGUGCCAGCAGCCGCGGUAAUACGGAGGGUGCAAGCGUUGUUCGGAAUUACUGGGCGUAAAGAGCGUGUAGGCGGUUAGGCAAGUCAGAUGUGAAAGCCUUUCGCUUAACGGAAGAAUUGCAUUUGAAACUACCUGGCUGGAGUUCGGGAGAGGAGAGUGGAAUUCCCGGUGUAGAGGUGAAAUUCGUAGAUAUCGGGAGGAACACCGGUGGCGAAGGCGGCUCUCUGGCCCGAUACUGACGCUGAGACGCGAAAGCGUGGGGAGCAAACAGG